GAUGAACGCUGGCGGCGUGCCUAAUACAUGCAAGUCGAGCGAACGGACGAGAAGCUUGCUUCUCUGAUGUUAGCGGCGGACGGGUGAGUAACACGUGGAUAACCUACCUAUAAGACUGGGAUAACUUCGGGAAACCGGAGCUAAUACCGGAUAAUAUUUUGAACCGCAUGGUUCAAAAGUGAAAGACGGUCUUGCUGUCACUUAUAGAUGGAUCCGCGCUGCAUUAGCUAGUUGGUAAGGUAACGGCUUACCAAGGCAACGAUGCAUAGCCGACCUGAGAGGGUGAACGGCCACACUGGAACUGAGACACGGUCCAGACUCCUACGGGAGGCAGCAGUAGGGAAUCUUCCGCAAUGGGCGAAAGCCUGACGGAGCAACGCCGCGCGAGUGAUGAAGGUCUUCGGAUCGUAAAACUCUGUUAUUAGGGAAGAACAUAUGUGUAAGUAACUGUGCACAUCUUGACGGUACCUAAUCAGAAAGCCACGGCUAACUACGUG
rnacentral:rRNA from 1 species